rnacentral:tRNA from 1 species
GGGCCCUUAGCUCAAUUGGCAGAGCGCCGCCUUUGCAAGGCGGAGGUCACCGGUUCGAUUCCGGUAGGGUCCA